CCAAAAUACCCCUCCGCCCUCUUCAUUGUUGCUUCGUCUUCCUCCGCCUUCCUCUGCCUCGCCGCCUUGCCGCCUCGCCUACCUCCAUUGCCUCGCCCUCGCCCACAUCACCGUCCGCACCCACAAACACCCCUUCGCCCUCCUCCGCCGCCUCGCCUUCGCCCUCGUUGUCGUUACCCACCUCUCUAUCCACCCCUACCUUCGAUUUCUACCCUACUGUCGCCGGAAUCGAGGGGUGGCGAGAGUGCAGGAGGAAGAUGAGGCGUGAACCGCGGAGAAACCGAGGCCGAUCGAGGCAUGAACCGCAGCCGAUCGAGGCUACUAUUGGGAAAGAUAAG
rnacentral:lncRNA from 1 species